rnacentral:rRNA from 1 species
UACGAAGGGUGCAAGCGUUAAUCGGAAUUACUGGGCGUAAAGGGUGCGUAGGCGGUUAGUUAAGUCUGUUGUGAAAUCCCCGGGCUCAACUCGGGAACUGCGUCCGAUACUGGCGGGCUUGAAUCCGGGAGAGGGAUGCGGAAUUCCAGGUGUAGCGGUGAAAUGCGUAGAUAUCUGGAGGAACACCGGUGGCGAAGGCGGCAUCCUGGACCGGCAUUGACGCUGAGGCGCGAAAGCUAGGGGAGCAAACGGG